GUGCCAGCAGUCCGCGGUAAUACGUAGGGCGCAAGCGUUAUCCGGAAUUAUUGGGCGUAAAGAGCUCGUAGGCGGUUUGUCGCGUCUGCCGUGAAAGUCCGGGGCUCAACUCCGGAUCUGCGGUGGGUACGGGCAGACUAGAGUGAUGUAGGGGAGACUGGAAAUUCCUGGUGUAGCGGUGAAAUGCGCAGAUAUCAGGAGGAACACCGAUGGCGAAGGCAGGUCUCUGGGCAUUAACUGACGCUGAGGAGCGAAAGCAUGGGGAGCGAACAGGAUUAGAUACCCUGGUAGUCC
rnacentral:rRNA from 1 species